UAAAACCCAAAGGACUUCGCGGUGCCCAGACCCACCUAGAGGAGCCUGUUCUAGAACCGAUAAUCCUCGUUAAACCUCACCACUCCUUGUUAAUCCGCCUAUAUACCGCCGUCGUCAGCUUACCCUGUGAAGGCUAAUAGUAAGCAGAAAGAACUGACUUAAAAACGUCAGGUCGAGGUGUAGC
rnacentral:rRNA from 1 species